UACGGAGGGAGCUAGCGUUAUUCGGAAUUACUGGGCGUAAAGCGUACGUAGGCGGCUUUGUAAGUUAGAGGUGAAAGCCUGGAGCUCAACUCCAGAACUGCCUUUAAAACUGCAUCGCUUGAAUCCAGGAGAGGUGAGUGGAAUUCCGAGUGUAGAGGUGAAAUUCGUAGAUAUUCGCAAGAACACCAGUGGCGAAGGCGGCUCACUGGCCCGGUACUGACGCUGGAGGUGACG
rnacentral:rRNA from 1 species